GACGAACGCUGGCGGCGUGCUUAACACAUGCAAGUCGUACGGUAAGGCCCUUUCGGGGGUCCACGAGUGGCGAACGGGUGAGUAACACGUGAGUAACCUGCCCACAACUUUGGGAUAACGCUAGGAAACUGGUGCUAAUACUGGAUAUGUGCUCCUGCUGCAUGGUGGGGGUUGGAAAGCUCCGGCGGUUGUGGAUGGACUCGCGGCCUAUCAGCUUGUUGGUGGGGUAGUGGCCUACCAAGGCGGCGACGGGUAGCCGGCCUGAGAGGGUGACCGGCCACAUUGGGACUGAGAUACGGCCCAGACACCGACGGGAGGGAGCAGUGGGGAAUAUUGCACAAUGGGCGCAAGCCGGAUGCAGCAACGCCGCGUGCGGGAUGACGGCCUUCGGGUUGAAGACCGCAUUCAGCAGGGACGAAGCUUUUUGUGACGGUACCUGCAGAAGAAGCACCGGCUAACUACGUG
rnacentral:rRNA from 1 species